AAACGAGUAUGAGUGUGAUGCGUACCUGGAGUGCGAUAAACCCACGACGAAACCCUAAAAUUGUCGUCAAUGGAAGCUAGGACGACGAACAAGGGAAAAGGAGACAAGGGGGAGAGGAGAUGAAGUGGUUUGGAAGUGGAACCGACCGUUUGGAUGAUUUCGGAAUGAGCUCGAAAUAGAAAUUAGGUAUUUUGAAUUGGAUUUCGGUUAAGAAGAGUCAUUUCGAAAUUUAACUUUUGAAAUCGAAAAUAGCCUGAUUUCGAAUUCAUUAACUGAUGGUAAAAAAAUGCCUAAUUUAAAAUCUGACCAUUGAAUUCGAAAACUAUCU
rnacentral:lncRNA from 1 species